AAAAAAGAGACAUUUUAAUUGGAUAAUAAAGUCAUACGAGGGACGAGUAAGGCCCCAAAGCAAUACAUUCUUGGCCAGUCAUGGACUGUUCAAGACACUGACUCAGAGCUCUGGGCCAAACCUCUGUCUUGAAUAUAUUUUAAUUAAGAUAUAAUGAAAUAUAUUUAAUUAAAAUGAAAAUGAAAAUUUAAACAUUUUUUAAAAAUUUAUUUUUAAAAACAUUUUUGUCUUUUUUUAGGGCCGCACCUAUGGCAUAUGGAGGUUCCCAGGUGCAGCCCUAAAAAGAAAAAAAAGGAAAAAAAAAAAAAGAAAAAGAGGGGUCUUGCAGAGACCACUGAUGAUGUGCCUUGAAUGGAAGAGGUUUCAUGAUAGAACUCAGAAGAAAAAGACACUGGGGUUCCCAUCGUGGCUCAGCGAGUUAAGAACCUGACCAGUAUCUGUGAGGAUAUGGGCUUGAUCCCUGGCCUCUCUUAGUGGGUUAGGGAUCUGGCAUCGACAUAGCUGCAGUGUAGGUCACAGAUGUGGCUCUGAUCUGGCGUUGCUGUGGCCGUGGCGUAGGCCAGCAGCUGAAGCUCUGAUUCGACUCCUAGCCUGGGCACUUCCAUAUGCUGCAGGUGCAGCCCUAAGAAGAAAAAAAAAGUCCAGCAUCCACUGAGAAUGUGUUUCCAUACAAAGUCUGCGCACACCUGAAGGACGAAGAGGGAGCACGCAGGCGUGGGAAGGAGAGCUGCAGUGCGGUAGAUGACAGCCUCAGGGCUCCGAAUACUCUUCACAAUUCUUCUUAACCUCCUUAGUAGCCCCUGGCCACCCUCGACUCUAUCGAUCCAGCCCUCAGGCGUCUAUGCAGACUGGGGCGUCCACUGCGCACUUCUCUGCCCUCUGUCUGGCGAAUUCCCACACUUCGUUACAACUCAGCUUAAACACUGCCCCCCCACCUCACCCCCCGGCAGGAGGCAUCCCCCUGCCUCCCAGAGCUGAUUCACUGCCUCUUCUUAUCUUUCCCAGACAACCAGUGAUGGCUCGAGCUGAGCUGCUUCCACACUAGUCUCUUCUUAGAAGCACAGCCUUUCAGGGAGUGGAGAAAAACACUGGGGCCGUGCCAGCCAAGGGAGGAAAGUCUGGCCUGGGAGAGGGGAGAGCUGGGGUGGACUGGACAGUGAAGGGGGUGAGGCCCCUGGGUGAUUUUUGCCUUGGCUUUCCCUUUCAAUUCCCUAGCCCAGCCCUGCCAAGCCAACCAAUUCUGUCAAAUCUUAUUUCUCAGGUGCCUGUGAUCCCAAGACACCGUGGUGCGGGAUUGCAACGCCACGGCCAUUCUUUGAGUGUUGGACCCAGGCAGGGAGGGAAGGCUUGGACGUGAGCAAUGUCAGAUAACAGUGGCAGAAUAGAGUGAAAGACAGCAGAACAGGACAGCAGAAAAGGGAUGGCCUGUGGGCACUGAAUGGUCUGGGUGCAGGGGGCAGGUGCCUGCAGGGGCUGCAAAGGGAAGUCCUCUGAGAACCGGCCCAAUGUCCAGGAGGAUGCAGGCUGGAUGGGGAAGGGGGACUGCAUGCGAACGGUCCACGAGGAGCCCCCGGAUUGGAGGCCAGAACAGAAGAAAACAUCAGGGAGUCUGGGAGGGUUAUCAGGGCCAGAAUUUUGAGGCCCUCGCAAGCCAGGCAGAGGGACAGUGCUGGGAAAACGGCGGUGAGAAAUGCAGAAAGCCGCGCAGCUGAUGAGAGGUGUUUAGGGGGAAAUGGGUCUGGGGGCGGCCCUUCGGGAGGCUGAGGCAAAGAACCCAGUUAGUAAACUCCUCCGAAAUCACAGCCGGGCAGGAGGCACAUGGUACUAGAGUCUCACGUCGUGUCCCCCCCCACCCCAGUCAGCACGACUGACAUCAGCAGCUCACUGGAGCACACUUGCCCCUGACUCCAGGUGCAACUCCAGAGGGUUUUUUAGGCCACUCUGGGCUCCUGGCAGCCCCUACCGAUCCAUCCAGGGUGAUGGGUCAAAUCUCCCCGCCUUGCGGGUUCGAUCAGUCAGGCGAUGUUAUGGGGCACUGACACGCAUCCUCAAAUUCCAGUGGCUUAAAGCGGUGAAGGUUCAUCGCUCAUUCAGGCUACCUGUCCAUCACAGUUGACCAGAGAUGGCUGUCAGUGCCAGCACCGUCCAGACAGACUGACAGGGCAGCCCCUUCACAGGGCACUGCUGGCCACCAAGGCAGGGGAGAGAGAGAGAUACAUCUUUGGAAGGUCUCUCACUAGCGUUUCAUAUGAAAGCCUGAAAAGGCAUAUCCCUCUGUAUACCACUCAUUGGCCAGAACUGGUCACAGCAGGCAAGGCCGUGGAAUCUUAAUCUCCAAAAGGCAGAGAGUUAGAAAAAAUAAAAGAAAGGCCUGGAGUUCACAUUGUGGUUCAGCAGGUUAAAAACGCGACUGGUAUCCAUGAGGAUGCGGGUUUGAUCCCUGGCCUUGC
rnacentral:lncRNA from 1 species